ensembl:ncRNA T28B11.13 ncRNA
AAAGUGCUAGCUACUUGAAAUGUUGCAAUUCUCCGAAUCUCUCUUUCUCUUGUUCUUUUUUUUUUUGAACUUUCUUCGGUUGGGUCCACUGCGCGAGUACUGGCGCCGAGACGCCGAACGGGCUUGUCACCACCUGGCACCUUC